GUGCCAGCAGCCGCGGUAAUACGUAGGGUGCAAGCGUUAAUCGGAAUUACUGGGCGUAAAGCGUGCGCAGGCGGCUUUGCAAGACAGAUGUGAAAUCCCCGGGCUCAACCUGGGAACUGCAUUUGUGACUGCAUCGCUGGAGUGCGGCAGAGGGGGAUGGAAUUCCGCGUGUAGCAGUGAAAUGCGUAGAUAUGCGGAGGAACACCGAUGGCGAAGGCAAUCCCCUGGGCCUGCACUGACGCUCAUGCACGAAAGCGUGGGGAGCAAACAGGAUUAGAUACCCUUG
rnacentral:rRNA from 1 species